AAGCACAGAAAAUAGCUUAGAAGUAGCGUAGAAUGAAUAGCUUAGAAAGGAAUAUACACACGUAGUGUAAACGAAGAUUUGUUUUUAUGCUUUCAAAGCGAAACCGAAAUCGCAGUAACUAUCACCGACAGGUGUCACGGCUAUCGCUACUGAGUCUCAUGGUGGGCUGCGCGGGGUGCAUGUGUGUGUGUUUUCCGUGACGGUCCUGAAGUUGUGAGUAAUUAGAUUGUUUCUGGCGGCGUUUAGUUGCAGCAUCUAGUUGUUUUUGUGUACUUUUGUGGUCAUUGACGCAAAGUGAGCGUUCGAACUGAAGACGAUGCGAAAUGCGUGAGAAAGAAAGGCCGUAGUGGCCUACAACAUCGGUGUUUCUUUGUGACCGUGUCUGCUAUGCCUACGACGGCCCUGAUUCGUGGCAAAGGAGAAAACCGCUUGCAGUUGGCCUGAACAGUGAAGUGCACGUUUUUUUCGGCGGAAUCCAUCCUCGACAUCGUUCUCCACUACGUUGAAGAAAUGGCGUGCACUGAGUGCACAUCGUGACAGCGCUUCGCCUUCACACCGAGGGACAUUCGCAAUGCGCAUGGACUGCUCAUAUAAAAGUUACAAUAAGCGUGAAGCAAUUGCAUGUGAACUGACUGUCCUCCUUGGAUCUACGCAUUGCUGAAAAGACAGUGAAGACAUCUGAGCUGACAGGUAGAAAAGAAGCAGAUGGCUCGAGUGAUAAAUGAAGAAAUGGCUUCAUCUAUGAUGGCUCGUCCUUCCACAUUGGAAUCAAGCUACACAAAGGCAUCACUAGCCUCACCUGUGCCCUGAAAAAUGGUUUUGGAUGCGAGUGUUCUUCAACGAGGGGCAUGGCCAGAAGAUUCGUCACCACAUACAAGGCAUAGUUCAAGAUUUAAAAUUGUACAGGAGGCUAGAAUAAAUGACCCUCCAUGUAGUCAGUGUUUGUGUAUUUGUGGUAAAUGUGACCAUUUCAGGCAAGACACUCGCAUGUGAUUACGUGUUUUCUCCCAAAGUUGUUACACCCUACAUUUGGAAACACAUCACCUAUAAUAUGCACACCAUACAUAACAUUUCUGUGUGUUAGCCUGACAGUAGACUUACGAAACAUACAAUGAAGUACAUAUGUACCUGCUACAGCACACCAUAUUUAGCAAGGGCGAUUAUAAUGUUCAUAACACCCUUAGACCCACCCGAUAGGUGAAGGGGUAAUAUAUUCCUGAUCGCACCCUUACACCCCAUAGGUCAAAGGGUAAUAUAUUGUUCAAAACACCCUCAUGGGAUAGGGCGUUAUGGCAAAUUAGAAGAACCAUCAUAAGGGUGUAAUUACCUAUAAAAUCCACCUAUUUCAAGGGUGCUAGGGGGUUAGUUA